CUGUCCGAGGGGCGCUGCAGCACCCGGUGACGAUCGUAGACGGGUGCGAGGCUCGGACAGACGCUGUGCAUAGGCAACGGCGCCCAUUCCCC
rnacentral:ncRNA from 2 species